GAUGAACGCUGGCGGCGUGCCUAAUACAUGCAAGUCGAGCGAACAGACGAGGAGCUUGCUCCUCUGACGUUAGCGGCGGACGGGUGAGUAACACGUGGAUAACCUACCUAUAAGACUGGGAUAACUUCGGGAAACCGGAGCUAAUACCGGAUAAUAUAUUGAACCGCAUGGUUCAAUAGUGAAAGACGGUUUUGCUGUCACUUAUAGAUGGAUCCGCGCCGCAUUAGCUAGUUGGUAAGGUAACGGCUUACCAAGGCAACGAUGCGUAGCCGACCUGGGAGGGAGGUCGUCCACACUGGAACUGAGACAGCGUGCAGACUCCUAGGGGGGGCAGGAGUAGGGAAUCUUCCGCAAGGGGGGAAAGCCUGACGGUGCAACGCCGCGUGAGUGAUGAAGGGCUUCGGAUCGUAAAACUCUGUUAUUAGGAAAGAACAAAUGUGUAAGUAACUAUGCACGUCUUGACGGUACCUAAUCAGAAAGCCACGGCUAACUACGUG
rnacentral:rRNA from 1 species